CAGUAGCCACGGUAAUACGGAGGGUGCAAGCGUUAAUCGGAAUUACUGGGCGUAAAGCGUGCGUAGGCGGUUCGUUAAGUCUGUUGUGAAAGCCCCGGGCUCAACCUGGGAAUGGCAAUGGAUACUGGCGAGCUAGAGUGUGUCAGAGGAUGGUGGAAUUCCCGGUGUAGCGGUGAAAUGCGUAGAGAUCGGGAGGAACAUCAGUGGCGAAGGCGGCCAUCUGGGACAACACUGACGCUGAGGCACGAAAGCGUGGGGAGCAAACAGAAUUAGAUACCCGCGUAGUCCCUGUCUCUUAUAC
rnacentral:rRNA from 1 species